UACGGGGGGGGCAAGCGUUGUUCGGAAUUACUGGGCGUAAAGGGCCAGUAGGCGGCCAACUAAGUCCGACGUGAAAUCCCCAGGCUUAACCUGGGAACUGCGUCGGAUACUGGAUGGCUUGAAUUCGGGAGAGGGAUGCAGAAUUCCAGGUGUAGCGGUGAAAUGCGUAGAUAUCUGGAGGAACACCGGUGGCGAAGGCGGCAUCCUGGACCAACACUGACGCUGAGUGAGCGAAAGCCAGGGGAGCAAACGGG
rnacentral:rRNA from 1 species